AGGAUGAACGCUGGCGGCGUGCUUAACACAUGCAAGUCGAACGAUGAAGGCUGGAGCUUGCUCUGGCUGGAUUAGUGGCGAACGGGUGAGUAACACGUGAGUAACCUGCCCCAGACUCUGGGAUAAGCGCUGGAAACGGCGUCUAAUACCGGAUACGAGCUUCCACCGCAUGGUGAGGAGCUGGAAAGAAUUUCGGUCUGGGAUGGACUCGCGGCCUAUCAGCUUGUUGGUGAGGUAAUGGCUCACCAAGGCGACGACGGGUAGCCGGCCUGAGAGGGUGACCGGCCACACUGGGACUGGAGACACGGCCCAGACUCCGUACGGGAGCAG
rnacentral:rRNA from 1 species